GUGUGGCUCAGUCAGUAGAGCAUCAGAUUCAUAAUCUUGGGGUCAUGGGUUCAAGACCCAUGUUGGGCA